rnacentral:tRNA from 1 species
CAAAAUAUAGCUUAACCAAAAGCAUUCAGCUUACACCUGAAACAUACCCAAUUAAACCAGGGUUAUUUUGA